AUGAGAAACAAACUUGAUUUCCCAGAGGCAGAGGGUAUCUGCUUCCUAGUCAUCACUCUUGACAGAAGCUGUUCGGAAUCGUCUGUCAAGAAGAAUAAGAAUUCUUCUUACUUGCUGGACAAGAAGGAAGAGAAGAGAAGACAUUCGAGAUCAAGGUCGCGCUCAAGGAGGAGGAGGACCCCUUCGUCCUCCAAACACAGGCGGUCACGAAGCCGGUCAAGGAGGCGAUCACACUCAAAGACCAGAAGUAGAAGGAGAUCCAAAAGUCCAAGACGGAGACAAUCUCAUUCCAGAGAAAGGGGUAAAAGGUCAAGGAGCACGUCCAAAGCCAGAGACAAAAGGAAAGAAGACAAAGAAAAUAAGCGUUCCAAAGCCCCACCAAAAAGCUACAGUAUAGCCAGACGUUCUCGGAGUGCAAGCAGGAGAGACAUCGGCAACGAAGCAGGAGGGGUACAAGGUCUCCUAAAAAACCCAGGUCUCCUAAAAGAAAACUGACCCGCUCACCAUCCCCACGGAGACAUAAAAAAGAGAAGAAGAAAGAUAAGGACAAAGAACGAAGCAGAGAUGAAAGGGAACCAUCAACAAGUAAAAAGAAGAGGAGCAAAGACAAGGAGAAGGAGCGGGAAAGGAAGUCUGAGAGCGACAAAGACGUCAAACAGGUGACACAGGAUUAUGAUGAAGAGGAGCAGGGCUAUGACAGCGAGAAGGAGAAGAAGGAGGAGAAGAGACCAACAGAAGCAAUGUCCCCUAAAACCAAGGAGUGCUCUGUGGAGAAGGGAAUGGCUGACCUUCGAUAGUCCAAAGUGAACAGGGAUGAUCACCAUGAAGAAGACAUGGAUAUGAGUGAGUGA